rnacentral:rRNA from 1 species
UACGUAGGGCGCAAGCGUUGUCCGGAAUUAUUGGGCGUAAAGAGCUCGUAGGCGGCCUGUUGCGUCCGCUGUGAAAUCCCGGGGCUCAACCCCGGGCCUGCAGUGGAUACGGGCUGGCUAGAGGCAGGCAGGGGAGAACGGAAUUCCUGGUGUAGCGGUGAAAUGCGCAGAUAUCAGGAGGAACACCAAUAGCGAAGGCAGCUCGCUGGGACGUCACUGACACUGAGGCGCGAAAGCGUGGGGAGCGAACAGG